CCUACGGGGGGCAGCAGUGGGGAAUAUUGCACAAUGGGCGCAAGCCUGAUGCAGCCAUGCCGCGUGUGUGAAGAAGGCCUUCGGGUUGUAAAGCACUUUCAGCGGGGAAGAAGGCGUUAAGGUUAAUAACCUUGGCGAUUGACGUUACCCGCAGAAGAAGCACCGGCUAACUCCGUGCCAGCAGCCGCGGUAAUACGGAGGGUGCAAGCGUUAAUCGGAAUUACUGGGCGUAAAGCGCACGCAGGCGGUCUGUCAAGUCGGAUGUGAAAUCCCCGGGCUCAACCUGGGAACUGCAUUCGAAACUGGCAGGCUAGAGUCUUGUAGAGGGGGGUAGAAUUCCAGGUGUAGCGGUGAAAUGCGUAGAGAUCUGGAGGAAUACCGGUGGCGAAGGCGGCCCCCUGGACAAAGACUGACGCUCAGGUGCGAAAGCGUGGGGAGCAAACAGGAUUAGAUACCCCAGUAGUC
rnacentral:rRNA from 1 species